UACAGAGGGGGCAAGCGUUGUUCGGAAUUACUGGGCGUAAAGGGCGCGUAGGCGGCCUGUUAAGUCGAACGUGAAAUCCCUGGGCUCAACCCAGGAACUGCGUCCGAUACUGGCAGGCUUGAAUUCGGGAGAGGGAUGCGGAAUUCCAGGUGUAGCGGUGAAAUGCGUAGAUAUCUGGAGGAACACCGGUGGCGAAGGCGGCAUCCUGGACCGACAUUGACGCUGAGACGCGAAAGCCAGGGGAGCAAACGGG
rnacentral:rRNA from 1 species